AUUUGCCAUGAGUUCAAGGCCAGCCUGGGCUGCAGUAAGACCCUAUCUCAAGAACUCCUGAUUUCCAGAAGCUGUUGGGUCAGUAACAAAAUGUCUCCCAGAGGACUGAAACAAAUUAAACAAAAAAGCACCUCACAAAUACUAACGAACAUUCCUGAGACUAACUUGAAAACUAGGUCAUUGAAGUGGCAAGAUACACAUUAGUAGCCAGAUCUGUAAGUCCUCAGAGCUCUUGGGUCUUAAGAUGGCAACUUAAGGCAGGAAAAAAUAUAUUAAAUCAAAUACCCCUCGCUGAAGAGCCAGAUAAUAUGUCUUGGAAAUUGUUCAUAUUGCCACCACAAGCAGUUGCAAGUCUCAUUUAACUCUUUGAAGUUAGAAGGGCCUUUGUACACCUACUGUUUCCACAGAUCAUCAGGUCAAGAAGGGGAAGUAUCAUGUCAGAGUAGGGUCAACAACAGAACAGUAACACAAACCACCUGACCACCUAGUGUGUGCAGGCAUUGACUAGCUACUAAAGAUACAAACACAGACUGGAGACAUGGCUUAGCAGUCAAGGUGCCUGCCUGCAAAGCCUAAGGAUCCAUGUUCGAUUCCCCAGAUCCCACAUAAACCAAACACACAAGGUGACGUAAGCUUGAAAGGUCGCACACACGCACAAGGUAACACACAUCUGGGGUUCAGUUACUGUGGCUGGAGGCCCUACCAUGCCAAAUUCUCUCUCUCAAACACACACAUGCGUGCGCACACACGUGCCAGUAUGUUGGGCUUGCCUCAAAAAAAAAAAAAAUGAGCAUGAAGAAAGCAGUCCCUUUCAAGAACCUCACCCCAGCAGGGAAGAUGGACAUGUAAAUAGAUCGUAGUGUCAUCUGUGUCUCUAGUUCAAGCUGACCUGGAAUUCGCUAGGUAGACUCUGGGUAGCCUUGAAGU